rnacentral:rRNA from 1 species
GACGAACGCUGGCGGCGUGCUUAACACAUGCAAGUCGAACGGAAAGGCCCUGCUUUUGUGGGGUGCUCGAGUUGCGAACGGGUGAGUAACACGUGAGUAACCUGCCCUUGACUUUGGGAUAACUUCAUGAAACUGGGGCUAAUACCGGAUAGGAGCUCCUGCUGCAUGGUGGGGGUUGGAAAGUUUCGGUGGUUGGGGAUGGACUCGCGGCUUAUCAGCUUGUUGGUGGGGUAGUGGCUUACCAAGGCUUUGACGGGUAGCCGGCCUGAGAGGGUGACCGGCCACAUUGGGACUGAGAUACGGCCCAGACUCCUACGGGAGGCAGCAGUGGGGAAUAUUGCACAAUGGGAGGAAGCCUGAUGCAGCAAAGCCGCGUGCGGGAUGACGGCCUUCGGGUUGUAAACCGCUUUCGCCUGUGACGAAGCGUGAGUGACGGUAAUGGGUAAAGAAGCACCGGCUAACUACGUG